CAUGCUCGCGGCCACAGGUCUCACCUGGUGCGUAACGCUGGUAUCAGAUCUCGCCUUACGUGCCACGUGAGGACUCUUGGACGCGCAGCUCU
rfam:Branchiostoma floridae genomic scaffold BRAFLscaffold_187, whole genome shotgun sequence.